rnacentral:rRNA from 1 species
CACGUAGGGCGCAAGCGUUGUCCGGAAUUAUUGGGCGUAAAGAGCUCGUAGGCGGUCUGUUGCGUCCGCUGUGAAAACCCGGGGCUUAACCCCUGGCUUGCAGUGGAUACGGACAGACUAGAGGUAGGUAGGGGAGAAUGGAAUUCCCGGUGUAGCGGUGAAAUGCGCAGAUAUCGGGAGGAACACCGGUGGCGAAGGCGGUUCUCUGGGCCUUAACUGACGCUGAGGAGCGAAAGCGUGGGGAGCGAACAGG